rnacentral:pre_miRNA from 1 species
CCGUGAAAUCGGACGCUUGCCAUUGAUAUUGUCCUGUCACAGCAGUAUUGUUACACUAUAUUAUAGUUUACUGCUGGGUCGGGGCAUUAACAUUGUUGAGCGUCAUUAGCAACGAGCGGC